GCCCAGGUGGUGAAAUUGGUAUACACGCAGUCUUGAGGUGGCUGUGGAGAAAUCCGUGGAGGUUCAACUCCUCUCCUGGGCA
rnacentral:tRNA from 3 species